rnacentral:tRNA from 1 species
UCGAGUCGGUGGCCGAAGCGGCCGCGCGGCACACGGACUUCGAGUCGGCGCUGGUGCCGCUGCGGGCGGCGGUCGCCCCGUUCGACACGGUCGGCCCCGAC